rnacentral:lncRNA from 1 species
CUGUAUCAGAGGCUGGAGAGAGAGUUCAGCAGUUAAAAGCACAGGCUGCUCUUGCCGAGGACCUGGACUUAAUUCUUAGCUUCCACAAGGUGGCUCAAAACCAUAGUAACUCCAACCCCAGGGGAUUGACACCCCUACUGGUCUCUUCCAGGUACUGCAUGUAGAUGGUGUACAGACAUAUACACAGGCAAAACAUCUAUACAUGUUAAAUGAGUGAAUAAAUAAAUAAAAUUUUAAAACAAAGCAACAAAACAAACAAACAACAAGAACACUGCAUAACCCAGAUAGACAGCAAGUAACUAAAACUAAUGGCUUUUCUCUCUUUCUCCCCCUUCCCAAGAACAAGAGAGAAGGCUGGGGUUGCAGGACUAACAGUUCUGCCCAGGGAACUCUAUACAAGGGCCUUGAAACCUUAAAGGCAGCAGAAACUGAGACAUCCACAUUGGGCUCACCUGUGACAGGGUAUUGGCAGUCCCCAGGGAGCACGUGGGCCCCUUAUGUGGCAGAGUGGCACAAGGCACAUUAUUCCUAGCCUGCAUCCAAUGUCAGUCACGUUGCCUGGUACCCCACCCUGUUCCCGAAAACCAAAGGCGCCCCUUCCAGAGAAAAAAGAAGACAGCCUCUUCAUUAAUAGCGCUGGCGGCAAGGA